rnacentral:sRNA from 1 species
GUCUCAAUGGAGCCCCAUCUGAAUAGAUGGGGAAACC